UCCUGUAUGCUCAUUUACCCAAUACACUCGAUAGCAACAUAAGGUGGAAUCUUUUGGGUUUUUGGCAAACCGCAAGUUGCUUUGGGUUUUGUGGAGUUAUUCUCACCAUGCGACCAUGAGAAGACAUCUUAUAACAGAUCGGAACAACGCCUACAGAGUGGGGGUUGCCAGACAUCCAUGUCCUCACCCACCCUACCAGGAAAGGAUGACAGGGACCAGGAAAAGACAGGGACUGCUCCUGCAGAGGUGCAGGUACACCACUGUCCCAACACCCAAAUCAAAAUCAAAAUGCCUCAAAUUAAAUCAACUAACAGUUUCUGUGUCACUCUCCAGCACAGGCAUCCUUGGCUGCUGUGGAGAGGACAUGGGCGAUGUAGGACUGGAUGAGUGACUCUUUGAUGGGGAAAUGAUCACUGCAGUCCGUGGACGAAGAUUUGGAUUCUUGUGGGUCUUCUGGUCAUCAGGAACAUGGCGGAGACCUAGAAAGAGGCAAUUCAGGAAAUUCCAAAUGAUAAAACCCUGUUCAUUACCCUCAGGGAACAGCCUCUCUGACACCCAUUUACAUUGUCUGCCAGGACAAAGAGCUAUCUUUAGUCCCAUAGACUGAAUGACAAGAACAAUUCAGAAUGGUUCAAAUCAGGACAACAUUUUGCAAGCCAACUGAGUAAGAAAUUGCAAGGACAAAACCUUCCUCCAAAUACCAGCAUUUUUUGUACACAAGCAUAGACAGAGAAGCCUGAAACAUCUGCCCAUACAAAUCCUUUCUGCACCAUUUUGUGUGAAGAUGGAGGGUGAAGGGUUGUAUUUUGCCUGAAAUGAAUGUAUGUGAAAACAACACGAAAAGCAAUUUUCACAACCUCAUAACAUUCGAAAACACUUUGCAAUCGAUGAACUUCUUUUUCAUCACAUUCAUCUGAAUGAGUGGACUGCCUUAUGAUUUUGAAUGAAUAAAUUUUAUUGUCAUGAGGAAUAGAUAAAAUACAGUGAAAAGCUUUUUACACUGGUGCCGCAAUCUGGCGCCAUUUUAAAUAGUUUUAAGAAUAAGAAAAAAAUACAGAAAGACAUAACUUGAAGAGAGUCCAUCAGCCCUGAGCCAACUCAUCAUCAACGAAGCCUGUGCACCAUCCCUUCUCCACUGCCUCGCCGCCGUCUACACCAGAUCAAACCGAAGUUGAAGUCACUACUCUUCAGGUGCAUCUUUCACCGCUGGGUCAAUUGUCCUCUGCCAUUGCCUUGCCACCAGUGCCGGACCCAACCAACAAUGAAGUCGCCGAUCCUCAUGCACCAUCUUUCACCGUUGGGCCUACCUUGCCGACGUUGCCUCUAUCGAUGUAGCAGAAGCCAUGUUCUGACGCCAGGUCCAGUGCUCGUCCCGGAAAAGUAAGUAAGGGCUCACUUGAGUCCACUCUGGGCCCUCGCCACCACCACGAGGUUCAUACUAGGCCCAUUCAAGUCCUCACUGGGCCCACCUGAGUCAGCACUGAGGUUCCUCGCUGCCACCGAUGCAGUCUGAACUCAGGACAAGAGAAUCCACAGGCAACAGAUUUAAACAAAACAUAUCAUGGCUUGGAGAACAAGAAAGUGACACAAGGCAGACAAAGCAUGUGCUUAUCUCUGUUUCCAGGACUGGCUUCUCCUGGAAUAGGUUGCCAGCUUUUUACCAGAGGUGACGGCUUGAGGGCAACACUCCACAUCACAUAUGGCUGAACUAAAAAUUGUUCCAUUCUUACCGCUUACCCUGGCACGUUGGAGGGAUUUACAAGUUGAAAAUUAAUCUGUUUUGGCUGUGUUAUGAAUGCAUCUUCUAUGGACCGUCUGAGGCGCAAUGUGAUCCUGGCCAUUUGUGGCUCAGAGACAGAAAUGCUAUCCUCUGCGUCACAAGAACUCUACCACUUCUAAUAAACAAGACACUGUAGCUCCAUGUUUUAAAACUCAUGUGGUAUUAUUGGUUAUAAGAUCAUCGAUUGCUCAAUCUUUGAUUAUUACACUUAUUUUAUGAGACAGCAUGGUGUUCCAUUCUCUGAAAACUGCAUACCCAGGAUACUCCAUAUCCCUCAAAUUCCAUUGCUGCCAUUCACAUCAGGCUCAUAUCAAUGACAACUGUUUUCUUUGAUAGCAGUUUCCUAAUGCCAAUUAUCUACAUUGUCCAUCCCAAAUGGAUCCUUACAUCAUCCCAGAACAGCUUAGCUCAAUUUAGACUUUCUUCUGUUUCUACACUGUGUUCAUAAUGCCAUAGGUGGACAGUAGAGCAUUAAGAGGUGGACACAUUUCUUUUCACCAAUAAAAUAUGAGUUCCAUUUCAAUCUAGAGUGACAGCGCAAUGAUGUUUUCUGUUGCACCACCAUAAGGCUCUUUCACAAAGUGACUUUCAGAAACAUUAGGCAAAUCUUUUGAAUAACUGGGAGAAAACACAUCCCCAGCCUUGAUAACUCCCUUCAACCAUUUAAUGCUCAUUGUAACAUUAAGCAACUCAUACAAAUAUCCAUAUUCUGGGGUGCAAGACCCACCCCAGGGAGGUACUGGUUAAUUUAGUUAGGGAUGGUGGUCACAGCUGGGAUCACACCAAGCCCCACAGAUUAAAAUGCUGGGAGCUCAGGAUGCAGGUAGUUCUGUGGGGGCCUCUCCACAAGAAGACAUGGUGCAAGGGCUGAGAGCUGAGGGUUGUAGUGGGCUCUGAGUGGGUGGUGACGGUAGGUUUGCGACGGGCAGGGAGGGAGGGAGCACUUGGGGUGGUGGGUGAGGGGCAAGACAGACACACGCAGCAGCAGGAAAAAUUAGAAGGAACAUGGGGUGAAGGGUGCCCCAAUUGGGAAUGAGGGGCUAAGAGGGAGGCAGCCUCUACAUGGAAGCCACCUCCCUUUAUCAUGGCGAAUCAUGGUAAUAAACAAUCCAUUCCAAAUAUCAGACUAACAAUAUUCAAACAGCCAAACCGGCAAGUAAGAAUUCUGAAUGAAAAUAAGAUGAAGCUGAAUGACCCUUGAUGGUUAGUUUGUAAAAUUGGAACAUGUGGCUAUAGUAAUGAAAAUAUGGAACUUUCUCUCCCAAAACCUAAGUGAAAUUUCAAAACUUGUUGAUAGAUUUUCAUUACGCAGGUUCAUUAAGGCAUAUGGAAAUGAAGUUGGCAAAUGGAAUAGAAACAUUAUUUAAGGUUAUGGGGAAAGGCAGAAGAAUGGUACUGAAUCAAAAUGAUCAAUCGAGAAGUCAAUGCAGGCAUGAUAAGCCAAAUGGUCUCCUUCUGCGCUGUAAACAAUUCUGUGAUGGAGUUUAAAUGCAGGUUACCCAUUAUGUAACUGAAUGCUAACACAGGAUUAAGAAACUGAAUGGUCUACUCGUGUUCUUAUAUUCCCAGAACAGAUGUUUGGACUAUGUUUGCAAUAAAAUCAGUUCUUGUGCA